rnacentral:rRNA from 1 species
GACGAACCAUGCAAACGUUAUUCGGAAUCACUGGGCUUAAAGCGUGCGUAGGCGGUUCAGAAAGUUGGGUGUGAAAUGCCUCGGCUCAACCGAGGAAUUGCGCCCAAAACUACUGGGCUUGAGGGAGUUAGAGGUGAGCGGAACUCACGGUGGAGCGGUGAAAUGCGUUGAUAUCGUGAGGAACACCGGAGGCGAAAGCGGCUCACUGGGGCUUCACUGACGCUGAGGCACGAAAGCUAGGGGAGCAAACGGG